GCGCGAGUUGUCUAGUGGUUAUGAUGUCGCACUCGUAACCAUCCUUUGGAAUACGAUAUGCGAAGGUCGGGAGUUCGAAUCUCCUUUCGCGCA
rfam:Aspergillus glaucus CBS 516.65 unplaced genomic scaffold ASPGLscaffold_9, whole genome shotgun sequence.